CAGCCGCCGCGGUAAUGCGUAGGUGGCAAGCGUUGUCCGGAAUUAUUGGGCGUAAAGGGCUCGCAGGCGGUUUCUUAAGUCUGAUGUGAAAGCCCCAGGCUCAACCGGGGAGGGUCAUUGGAAACUGGGAAACUUGAGUGCAGAAGAGGAGAGUGGAAUUCCACGUGUAGCGGUGAAAUGCGUAGAGAUGUGGAGGAACACCAGUGGCGAAGGCGACUCUCUGGUCUGUAACUGACGCUGAGGAGCGAAAGCGUGGGGAGCGAACAGGAUUAGAUACCCCUGUAGUCCCUGUCUCUUAUAC
rnacentral:rRNA from 1 species